UUAGAUAGAAGCUCUGUCUGGUUUGUCUACCCAGGGCAACAAAUUAAUCAACCUAGUAAGUAUAUAAGAGCCAAUCAGAUAAUUAGUUAUCUGUAACUAUACCAAAAGGCUUUACAGGGACAACAAACAAUGUCACUUUCCCAAGACAUGAAUUAUAUACAAUUGACUUAAAUAGAAUGGUGUAUAAGAGCCAGUCAGGGGUAUCCAAUCCCAGGAGCUCAGUCUAUUUGAAGCAGGGCCUUAAACUGUAUAUGAGGGAGGGAAGAGGAAGGUGAAGAUACAAGGGAAAGGAAUAUGCCCACUCAAAAAAGUGGUGCAGCAAGGAUCUAGAUACAAAAGAAAGGAAUCUCCAGGUUGUAGAUCAGCAUUUCUCUAAUGUUCAUGUGUGUAUGAAUCACCCUGGGGUCUUAUUAAUGUUCCGAUUCUGAUUCAGUAGGUCUAGGAUAGAGGCCAACAUACUGCAUUUCUCAUAAGCACCUGGGAGUGAUCCAGAUGCAGUUGGUUCCAGGACACAUCUUGUGCCCCUGAGUAGCAAGGAUGUGAGUUUUCAGCAGUUACAGUUGGAAAAGGACAGGCAGUGGAUAGAAACCAGCCCUUAGAGAGUAACACCAUCCAAACUUUUCAUUAAACAGAUGAGAAAUGAAAGCCAGGAAGGUUCUUAGGUUAAUGGUAAAGACAUUUGACUCCCAUUUUAAUGCAUUUUCCUCUAUAAAAUUUCUACAAAGGAUUCCCAGAAAAAAGAAAUAACUGGACUAGAGUUCCCAUGUGUGGCUCAGCAAUAAUGAACCCAAGUGGUAUCCAUGAGGAAGCAAAUUUGACCCCUGGCCUCCCUCAGUGGGUUAAGGAUCCAGCAUUGUGGAGAGCUAUGGUGUAGGUCACAGAUGCAGCUUAGAUCUGGCAUUGCUGUGGCUAUGGCAUAGGCCAUCAGCUGUAGUUCCGAUUCCACCCCUAGUCUGGGAUAGUCCAUAAGCCACGGUUGUGGCCCUAAAAAGACAAAAAGAAAAAGAAAAGAAACAACGUUUUUUCAAGUAUGUGAUGAAUUUCUUUUUUAUAUAUGGAGGUCACAGAGAGAUAUUUCAAAAUCAGGAUGCUUUCUUUUAUUAAGGACAAUUUUAUAUCAAUCCUAUAAGAGUUCAUUUAUUCCCCAGUUGAAUCCAUGGCUGUGUCAGGAAGCAAAGAGGUCAACUUCACAGUGAAUCAUCAAACUUCCUAUGUUUUGAGUAAUUUUUAAACACAAAGAUUCUUUGACUUCAAAUAAUCUGAAAAGCAAUAGCAUGAAGAAUUGUGUCUUCUUAAAAUAUGACAGAUUUUUAGUCCAAAAAAAAUAAACACAAUUCAAGGACUCUAAGAAUUUACUGGAAAAAAGUGAUAAAAUUAUUUACUUUAUCAUCACAUAUCUAGAAAAAUUUCCAAGUCAACAGCUGCAUCAUGGUCUCAGCCAGUCUAUCCAACCUAAUUUCCUAGUUUUCUUCCAACUUUUACUCAAAGUUUGAAAAUCCCUGCAAAUAUUUGAGUCAUGCAAGGUUAUAACAUUUACCUUAAAAGUCUCCAGGAAAGGGGAACAUUUCUGAGUCUGCUUUGUUCUACCUACCCCUGACAUUCAGGAUGAGGAAUGACUGGCCCAUUCAGAGGCUCUUGAGACAAUCAAAAAGCCAGGAAUCUAAAUUCAGCUAAUGCUCACAUUCAGUUUAGCAAGUGCUAUGCCUCUAUGGCCAAGUUUAUCUCCAUCUGGAGAAGUGAAAAGAAAUAAAUGAUACAUCCUAAGCCCCAGCAUUCUGCCCGUUCACCCGGAUCAGUCAAGAAAACCUCUACCACUGAGCCUCACAAACUCUUCCUAAAGGUAAUUCAUAAGUGUUCCUGACAGCCCCUCUGGGGUUUUGUACUCAGAUAUCCACCUGGCAGACAGUACUGGAACAUUUGAUGGGGGCUCUAUUACUGGCCCUCAUCCCAAUGGGCAGAACUGGGAAUUUGUCGCCAUACAUUUAAAUAGCUUAUUUAGCUGGCAUGGUCCACAUUAAUUGCUCCUGCCUUCAAUUUUGUGCCUUGUAAUUUUCUCCUUACAGAGAGAAUACAGAUAAAAUUUGAUGGGUUGUCCUGGCCCUGGGCCGGACAACUGCAAUCUUCCUUGUGCGUUGAUGACAAUGCGUGCAGAGAAAACAGAGGGAUGACACAGAUCAUGGGGAGCUGGGGUCGUGGAGGGCUCCUCAUUCCAGAGGAGACUGGUGGUGACCAGUUUUGCCUAAUUCAUCAUUCACACCUCUUGCUUUCAGCCUUUUCCCCUGAUUUUGUCAAUGGCAGACCAGACGACCUAUAAAGCAAUGGUUGGCAUUCCAGAAGCUUGCUUAAAGAUUCCUAAUGGGGAGUUCCCGUUGUGGCACAGUGGUUAACAAAUCCGACCAGGAACCAUGAGGUUGCGGGUUCGAUCCUUGCCCUUGGUCAGUGGUUAAUGAUCCGGCGUUGCCGUGAGCUGUGGUGAAGGUCGCAAACGCGGCUCGGAUCCCAUAUUGCUGUGGCUCUGGCAUAGGCUGGCAGCUACAGCUCUGAUUCGACCCCUAGCCUGGGAACCUCCAUAUGCCGUGGGAGCGGCCCAAAAAAUGGCAAAAAGACAAAAAAAAAAAAAAAAAAAGAUUCCUGAUGUGGGAGGAAGGGAGAGGGAGCACAGGAAACUAUUCUCUAUCACUUUCCCUUAAGAGCCCUGACUUUCAAAAAAUGAUGUAAGACACCAUCAGGGCAUUUCAGUAACCCUGGGAUUUUGUUUUCUGCAUAGGCUGUAAGCAUUCUUAGAAGAGCCAGACAGUAAGAGUAUUUUCCAUUGAGAUGACUUAUAUAAAGCAGCAGUUUGUAUUUUGGGGGGAAAAAAGUAUUUCUCCUUCAUGCCAUGUUCUGGUUCAACAAAGUUUUAGAGUUUCUGUUCUAUUUUUUCUAUGUUUGUCCAGCCAGCCUAUAUCUGUCUGCCUUGAUCACCACUUCUAUUCACCCAGACAGGUGCAGAGUGACUCCCCAAGAGGACAUUUUGGCCUGAACACUGUCAGUGUUCUAAUCACCAGUGGCAACACCAGGCACUGAAGAAUGCAAAUUGUCAUCAUGGUAGAGUCCACAUAAUGGCUCUGGGCAUUUGGCUUAAACUUAGAAGCUGCUGCAGGUAGCUUUUUGGGAAUACUGAGUGAUUAUGAAUUGAGGACAAAGCUGAAAUUUAUUAAGAGUAAGCUUUGCCCCGAUACCACUGUCACACUGCAUUAGAGAAAACUCUGGCUUGCCCUGGUCACUCAGCACGAGCUACAAACAUCCCCUUGCUUACUCUUCUUGGACUUCUGAUGCUGCUUGCACCUGUGAGGAUGGAGAACUCAGGAUGACAUAGCUCUUCACAUGGCAGUGUCCUAGUGAGCCUUGAAGGUCAGUGUGAAAGGAGGGAGAAUGACACUGGCAUCUCCCUGGAGUAAACUGGUUCUCCAUCCAAUGUUACCAGUGCUAGAGAAGGCAGUGCCUCCAACACAGCAUGCCCUCCCCAACACCUUGACAAACCCACUCCACUUCCUGCACUCUUUGCCUUAGGAAAGGUUGCCACCUUUCCUAAGUUAUCCCCUUAGUUGCCCAAAUUAGAAACUGGGGACCAUUCCCAGCAUUUCCCACAUCUCCAGCCUCUGUUUAGUAACUAAGUCCCAUCCAGUCACCACAAUGUUACCUGAACAUAUUACCCCUCUUUGUUCUCAUCACCAGUGACCUAAUUCAGGUGUUCAGUAGGCCUAGUCAAAUAGCCUCUCUGGGAAUCCUACCCCGUAGUCCCACCCCAUCCCCAAGCGGUUCAAUCUACCCUUGGUGCAGCUUUUGUUCUAAAAUACAAAUAUCUCCAUAGCGCUCCUCUUACUGAAAACUUUUAGUGGCUCCCAUCACCUAUAGAAUAAAAUUCAGACUCCUUACUAGCGCACUCAGAGUUUAUAGGCUUCAAUAGCCCCAACACAUUUUUCACCUCACUUCCUGCUGUAACCCUCCACAUCCUUAUGCAAACUUGAUCCCAACUACUCUUUCCCAACCAAAUUCAACUCUUUCACACCCCUCUUCUGCCUGAAGUGCCUUUCUUCUGCCUUCUCAGCAUGGAAAAUCCAUACUCAUUCUCCAGAUUGGCCCAAAGAUAACAUCUCUUAUAAGACUGUCUCUGACACCCUUUUCCUGUAGUGACUUUUAUUGUGUUAUAAUCCAUGCUUUGUAUACCUAUUAUCUACAACUGCAUUGGGUCUUCCUGAUCUCUGAAUUUCUGGUUCCCACUAUACACUAUUUAUAUACUGGUGUUUAGGAAAGGAAGAAAGUAAAGUACAUUAUUAUGCCACUUAGAUAGAAAGCACAAAUGCUAUCUUUUAUAUGCUUUAUCUGGAUAGAUAUCUCAUAUUGCCAAGUUGAACAGGAGCCCAAGAUUGAGGGGAAAUGGCUGUUAUGGAUACAUAACCUCUCUUUGGAUAGCAAAUAUAACUUCCAACAAAUUUGCCAACUGCUGCAUAUGUAUAUAAGCCAGGUAUCUCAUUAGAAAAUUACACUUGCCCCACAAAUACAAGGCUAUCAGCCAACCCCAGGGAUAAUCAGUCACUAGCACGAGAGUACCAUCCCCAACAGGCUAAAAUGUAUUCCUUAGUGCAUCUGGGUCAGAAGGAUGCUGUCUGUAAGAUAACACAGCAAUACAAAUAUGGUUCCAAAACUUCAGAUCAGGCAUAACUGGAUGGAAGAAGGGAAAGUAGUAAACAUACUCUACUGGGAAUAGGAAACAAGCUUUUAAACAAGUCAAGACGCACAGUUUUUCUCUUCAGUAUUCCAACUCAUUUAAUUUGCAAGGAAAAAAUUAAAAGAUUAUUCAAAUAGAGGCUGGGAUUUGUUCUCUUGCUGGAGAAUGACAAUUAAUGCCUAUGGGUGAAGUGUUAGUUAAUAUGCCAAAUGCUAAGUAGUUCCCUUCAUUGCUCAGGGGUUAACAAACCCAACCAGGAUCCAUGAGGAUGCUGGUUCAAUCCCUGGCCUCGUUCAAUGGGUUGGGGAUCCACUGUUGCCAUGAGCUGUGGUGUAAGUCACAGAUGCGGCUCGGAUCCCACAUUGCUGUGACUGUGGUGUAUGCCGGCAGCUGUAGCUCUGAUUCAACCCCUAGCCUGGGAACUUCCAUGUGACACAGGUGUGGCCCUAAAAAAAAAAAAAAAA
rnacentral:lncRNA from 1 species